rnacentral:lncRNA from 1 species
AGACAUUGGAUAAGCAACCCCCAUGAAGAAUAUAGCAGGUAGACUUUUAGGAUUGGACCCUAUUUUACUUACCCUUUGAAAGGGAGCAGACCAGCUUUAAUUAUAAACAGGAUCAUAAUUAUAUAUCACUUAGGCUCUAAGAGAAGACACCCUGAUCAUAAACAGACCAACUGAGUGCUGUGAGAGACUACAAAUGAAAACAGAUGUACACAUUUAGUUGCAGAGCCACAGAACAAAUGAAGCUUUGCUUUUAUUUUCUGUCAGCUGCUUUAGAAAAAGACAAAGCCUACAUUUCUAUCUCUUGGUAAGUAAGCACUGACAACAAAAAUUUCCAUAUGGGAGAAAUCGGCCUCAUUUAUUCAAAAAGAAUACCUUUGGCCUGAACUAAAAAGAAAUGUUAACUUGCUAUAUCAACUCUACAUGAGGAUUCCUAUCAAGAAGAAAGUCUCUGGAAGAAGGGAAGGAGAAAGUACAAUGGUUAGAGGAGAAAUGACACUGUGGCAAUAUUCACUUGUUUAUAACGUAUAUGGAAUUCGUUGAAGUGGGCAGUAAAUUAGCCAUCAUGCAUGUCUUUUAUCCUCUGCUAACCAAUGCCUCAGAUCCAAUUCUGGAUCCAAUUCUUUCUCUAGACAGAUUUGUAGUAACUGACGUUAAAUUUCUGUAACAUUUCAAAGUUAAAUUUAUGCUGUAUUAUUUAUUCUAAAUGGUUUUAGUAAUAUAGGAGCCAAAGUUUAUAUCAGAGCUGACAACCAAACUAAUGUAUUUAUAACUUUGGUAAACUUUAAAGUAAAUUUCUUUACCAACAAGAUUAAUGAUGAGGAAAUACUUCUUAAAGUUCACUGCAAGUCUUUGAUAUAAUAACUGACAUUAACUAAUGCUUUAAGGUUUAUAUACAUUAUAUCUCACUAGUAAUACAUUUUUAUUUCCAUGUCAAAAAUUACUUGUAAAAACAGGAUUCAAAGUUGGCUGCAACAGAAGUAUAAAAAAAAUAAUUAAAAAAAAAAAUCUGACUUUAAAUUGCCUUCCCAACCCUCUCCAAAAUCCACCAAUCACCCAACCACAAUAACAAUCUUCACCUAAUUAGCAACAUCCUGUAGACAGUGCCAUCUUGUCACCUGUAGAUAAUAUAGAAAGUGUAGGAAAUCUCCAGAGUAAAGUUCUUUUCUAUUCAAAUGUUCUGCUUUUCUAUCAUACCUGGUCUGUGAAAAAAUUUGCGCUCUUUAAGGAAGGCUGUAUUCACAAUUCAUUCUCUUACUGCCACAAAUCACAAAUAUGAAUACAUGUACAAUAUUGCUGCAGUUGUCUUUACAGGCCCAAACCUACAGCAAAGAUAAAUAAUAAAACCCCAGGAAACUCAUUCAACCUCAAAAUAAAAAGUAAUGUAAAAUUUUGACAAAACUGCUGUUCGACAGAACUGUUUGUGAGGGAAAAUUCCCAGGGAGAGUCUCCUUUUUAAUCCAUAGCAACACAUGUUGUGUAACUUAUAGUCUUAAGAGUUGUUUGGGAGCCCUGAGAAAUUACAUGACUUAGCGAGGGUCAUAGAAUCAAGUAUGUUUCAGAGGAUGGACCUGAACCCAGACUCCUUCAUUCAGAAGCCAAACUAUCUACUAUAUGUCAUGCUGUCUCAACACUGAUUUCACCAAAAAAAUAGUUUCAGCUUUUAACUCAAACCAAUUUUCUUGGGCACCUUCCCUUUCUCUGGAAACUUGGACUUUUUACUUAUUGUCAUAAAACACCAAGGAAAAAAAGACAAAGCCAAAUUCUCUAACUCCAAUUCUUGCUUAAACUGUUUUCAAAGCAAAUGUAGGUGAAAUAAUCAAAUUCUAAGAACAUAGGAGGAUUAGUUUAAAAAAUAAUUGUUUUUGAAUUCUGUGUAGAGUAAGAAAGCACAAGUACUGAUUGGAGUUCA